UUGAAAUCCUUAGGAUGUUGCUGGCCUCUAGGGGCAUGUGCACUCCGCCUUUUCAACUCACCUGUGAACUUAUUGUAGGCCGGAUAGUUAACUCUAUCUGUGUCUAUGUUUUUAUUACACCCCUUUAAAAAUGUAACAGAAUGUCUUAUAGGCCUUUAUUGGUCAUAACUUAAUA
rnacentral:misc_RNA from 2 species